UACGGAGGGUGCGAGCGUUGUCCGGAAUCACUGGGCGUAAAGGGCGCGUAGGCGGCUUCUCAAGCGUGUGGUGGAAGUCCGGGGCUCAACCCCGGAUCGGCCGUGCGGACUGGGGAGCUCGAGUUCUGUAGAGGCGGGUGGAAUUCCGGGUGUAGCGGUGGAAUGCGUAGAGAUCCGGAAGAACACCGGUGGCGAAGGCGGCCCGCUGGGCAGAGACUGACGCUGAGGAGCGAAAGCGUGGGGAGCGAACAGG
rnacentral:rRNA from 1 species